GAUAGAGAGACAGAGAGAGGGAGGAAAGAGAGAUUUGGGUUUUCUUGGAUCUUUCUCAAAUUCUCUUGUAUAUAUUUAUGGGUUUUUUAUUAUAAAAUAAAAGGCCCAAAAAUCUCUUCAAUCUUCUUAUAGUCUCUGUUAUUAUCAUUAAUUAAUUAUAAUUAGAAAAUGAGUGAUCCAAAGUAUGCUUAUCCAUACCCUGCCCAAGGGUAUUAUCAAGGACCUCCUGUGAUGCCACCGCCACAAUAUUAUGCACCUCCACCCAAGAGACAACCAGGCUUUCUUGAAGGAUGCCUUGCAGCUCUUUGUUGUUGCUGCCUCAUCGACGAGUGUUGCUGCGAUCCCUCGAUUAUAUUUGUAAGUUGAUGUAUUUCUAUGUAUGGUAGGAGAUGUUUUAAUGGGACAUUUGAAAAUAACGGUUUGUAUUUAGGGAUUGGACCAUCUCUGUGAUCUUAUCCUUCUCUUGUCUAUGUGAAUAUGAUCGUAUCCUUCUCUUGUAACUUGAAUGGCCAAGAUCUUCCGUUUUCUUA